GACCUUAAAGUGUAAAUUUGUCGCACAUUUCUUUUACACAGAAAAGGUGAGGAAAGAUUCUCUAAGGUCU
rnacentral:tRNA from 1 species